GCCGGUAUAGCUCAGCUGGCAGAGCAAGGCAUUCGUAAUGCGUAGAUCGGUGGUUCGAGUCCACUUACCGGUA
rnacentral:tRNA from 1 species